CGCUCAUCGAGGGAUGCCCGGCCCAAGUGGCUGGGGCCAAGCCGCAGAGCGGAGUUGGCAUUUCCAGAUUGGGGCUCGGGCUGCGCCUCCUCCGGGACCCUCCCCUUGGACCGAGCCGAUCGCCGCGGGGCAGUUCGGGCCGGCUGUCCUGGCGCGGUGAAGGUGAUAAAGUAAAGUGCUUUCACUGUGGAGGAGGGCUAACUGAUUGGAAGCCCACUGAAGACCCUUGGGAACAACAUGCUAAAUGGUAUCCAGGGUAAGAACUACUGAGAAAACACCAUCACUAACUAGAAGAAUUGAUGACACCAUCUUCCAAAAUCCUAUGGUACAAGAAGCUAUACGAAUGGGUUUCAGUUUCAAGGACAUUAAGAAAAUAAUGGAGGAAAAAAUUCAGAUAUCUGGGAGCAACUAUAAAUCACUUGAGGUUCUGAUUGCAGAUCUAGUGAAUGCUCAGAAAGACAGUACGCAAGAUGAGUCAAGUCAGACUUCAUUACAGAAAGAGAUUAGUACUGAAGAGCAGCUAAGGCGCCUGCAAGAGGAGAAGCUUUGCAAAAUCUGUAUGGAUAGAAAUAUUGCUAUCGUUUUUGUUCCUUGUGGACAUCUAGUCACUUGUAAACAAUGUGCUGAAGCAGUUGACAAGUGUCCCAUGUGCUACACAGUCAUUACUUUCAAGCAAAAAAUUUUUAUGUCUUAAUCUAACUCUAUAGUAGGCAUGUUAUGUUGUUCUUAUUACCCUGAUUGAAUGUGUGAUGUGAACUUACUUU
rnacentral:sRNA from 1 species